GGAUUAGAUACCCUGGUAGUCCACGCUGUAAACGAUGGUUACUAGCUGUUUGGGAGCAAUUCUGAGUGGCUAAGCGAAAGUGAUAAGUAACCCACCUGGGGAGUACGAUCGCAAGAUUGAAACUCAAAGGAAUUGACGGGGGCCCGCACAAGCGGUGGAGCAUGUGGUUUAAUUCGAUGAUACGCGAGGAACCUUACCAGGGCUUAAAUGUAGAGUGACAGGGGCAGAGACGCCUUUUUCUUCGGACACUUUACAAGGUGCUGCAUGGUUGUCGUCAGCUCGUGCCG
rnacentral:rRNA from 1 species